GUAGUUAGCCGGGGCUUCCUCCUUGGCUACCGUCACUUUCUUCGUCACCAAGGACAGAGGUUUACAAUCCGAAGACCUUCUUCCCUCACGCGGCGUUGCUGGGUCAGGCUUGCGCCCAUUGCCCAAUAUUCCCCACUGCUGCCUCCCGUAGGAGUCUGGACCGUGUCUCAGUUCCAGUGUGGCCGAUCAGCCUCUCAGCUCGGCUACCCAUCGUUGGCUAGGUGGGCCGUUACCCCGCCUACUACCUAAUGGGACGCGAACCCCUCCUUCUGCGGAUUGCUCCUUUGACCCCUGAGCCAUGCGACUCUGUGGUCUUAUGCGGUAUUAGCACUUGUUUCCAGGUGUUAUCCCCCUCAAAAGGGCAGGUUGUUCACGCGUUACUCACCCGUUCGCCACUAGCUAUAAAUCCGAAAACCUAUAGCCCGUUCGACUUGCAUGUGUUAGGCACGCCGCCAGCGUUCGUCCUGACACAUCAAUUCAACNCUGA
rnacentral:rRNA from 1 species